rnacentral:misc_RNA from 1 species
AUAGCUAACCUCACAACUCACAAGCCAAUUUCACCUCAAAAUACUUAUAAAAAUUCCAACUUUACUACUAAACAAAGUAUAAACUCGCACAAAAAUUGUAACUUUUACUAGUAAACAAAGUAAAGAUCCCACCUUUUUCCUUGAACCAACUUACAAAAGAUUCGAACUUUAUCCCCUUAGAGAUGACCAAUUGAUUCCUCCAAGAAAACCCAA